AUUGCUAAGAGCCAGUGACCUCCAGGCUCCUUGGAAAUGGGGAGUGGAUGGGCUGACUGCUUUUCUGGUGGCUCUGCCUGCCAGACCUUGCAGUUGCUAGGCUCACUCGUGGCCCAAAAGCAGGCUUAGGUCAGGUGUUAAAGGCUGAGCACCGGCACUGCAGUAAUCAACUGGAAGCGCCGGCCUGGAUUUUCCGCUGUGUAGGCUAGGAGGGAACACAGGUGACAGAACAGAAGGUUGCUGGUCCACAAAGAGCACUGGUUAAAGGAUGUGUCCUGAGCCAGGACCUGAACACAUGGCAUUAGUUUUCUGACGUUCUGCUAGCAAGCCUGGGAAUGACAGAGAUGCUCUCUGUGCCAUUCUGGAUGACAGAAGAUUUAUGCCUGAGUCACUUGUAGACAGCUGCUCAAAAGGCUGCAGGUCCUAGCAGAAAGCUACAGCUUCUAGCCAGAUAUCUACUUGGAUAUAGGGCUCAAAGUGUCUUUGAGUGACUGCAUGGAAGAAAAUCUGCAAGAGAAGCUGCCCGGGAAAGGGCAGACUCAUGACCAUCUUGUCUGUGGAGUGCUGCUUGCCUUUACGAUGGUUGGCUGUGUCCUUGAACCACAAACCAAACCAUUUCCAGAGGCUGGCAUUCUUCUCUGAGAUCUCCAGACAGAGCUGUGGCUGUGAUGACCAGGGCUGUUGCUUGGCGGUGCCAAGACAAAGGAAAGCUACCAGUUGUUGUCGUGCUGUACAGAUGCAGCAGGAGUCAGCCAUGAACACAGUGACAACUGAUCCGUGGUGGUAGAGGCUGGGUGUCACUGCAGAAUGAAGCCUUCACUCUGCUCCUGAAAGCUGUGCAGUGCAAUUACACACACUGCUUAUCUCCCAUCUGCUGCAGCCAAACCUUGCCACCAAGGCUGUGCCUUCGGCAGGGGAGUGGCAGGUCACGGCCCCCCCUUCCCUCUCUACUGGGAUUGCCAACAACUUGCCGCUCUUUUUAUGGUGUCACCCAGUUGUCACUGCACCCUGAUGCCAUCAGCUCCUUCCAGCUGAAUGCCAGCAGACAGUGCCAACUUUCACCUGCUAACACCUGGGUUGAUUACAGGUUGAAGACCAAAAGACAAAGCCUUUAACAGGGUGAAAAAGCUUGUGCUAAUUCAGCGAAGCACAGCGGUGAUGUCUCAGUGUUGAUGUCACCCUGAAGACUGCAGCCUGUGUGACACGACACCACUCGUGCCGUGAGCAGGUCAAGUGUGGAGAUCUGAGCCAUGCUGGGCAAAGCCAUGGGUCCGAGGCCUCGCUGGGUGCUUGCGGCAACUACCCAAGGUGAUGCUGUUGCCAUGUGGUGGAAACAAAAGAGCUUUUCCAGUUGUGUUCCCAGUGCAAUCCUUGGGGGCACAGUAGAGCCCCUCUCCCCGCCCCUCAGUGUGCCACAGGCAGCUCACCUUGGUAAUUCCCCCCACCAUGCAAACAAAUCUAUACACUCAAUUAAUUGCUCAGGUUCCCUGUGAUAGCUGUUGCUCAAACCAACAGGCAUUUGGCUGUUUCCUGCCAAGCGUAUCAGGAUCAUCAUAUACCUGGGAUCUAUUUAUUAAUCAGCUCAAGCACAAGGUGCACGAGAGCUAAAUGUAUGUUUGUGCAAGUGGGGGAGGGCUACAUCUGCAGACAUGGCUGAAUGCAGAUUUCUGUGGGAUGCCCCUUAAGACUGCCUUUGGAAAGGAACAAGCUUGGAAUGACAAAAGGGAAGGGGGAAGUUAUUUGGCAGUUUGAUUACAGACUGUUUAAUAAAUCAUGAACUACUCAUACUGAAAGAAUAUGCUGAUUUCACUUAUAUGCACUUUCUAGUGUUAUUUGCCAUUGAGGUUUUACCAAAGUGCAGUGAAGCUGAGCUCGUGGCUGCCAAUAAAAUAGCUGUAGUGUCUGAUGUAACUCCCACUGCUGCAAGAACACACUUGGAGGUGUCUCCUUGGAGCUGUCACCAACAUCAGAGUGUGGUGACAGGAGAGAGUCACUGCCUCUUGCUGUCAGAGCGUCACUGAGCUCACUGCACACCCAGCAACUCCUCUGGCUGGUGCAGAGGCUGCACGCCCCAUCCCCAGAAGGGAGCUGGCCCUACAACUUGCAGCCUGCUUGGAAAAGUGGUGGAGGUGCUGCUUUCUCCAUCCGUGGCAGCCGCAGGUAAUGAAAACAUC